GACGAACGCUGGCGGCGUGCUUAACACAUGCAAGUCGAACGGAAAGGCCCUGCUUUUGUGGGGUGCUCGAGUGGCGAACGGGUGAGUAACACGUGAGUAACCUGCCCUUUACUUUGGGAUAACUUCAGGAAACUGGGGCUAAUACCGGAUAGGAGCUCCUGCUGCAUGGUGGGGGUUGGAAAGUUUCGGCGGUUGGGGAUGGACUCGCGGCUUAUCAGCUUGUUGGUGGGGUAGUGGCUUACCAAGGCUUUGACGGGUAGCCGGCCUGAGAGGGUGACCGGCCACAUUGGGACUGAGAUACGGCCCAGACUACGAAGGGAGGCAGCAGUGGGGAAUAUUGCACAAUGGGCGGAAGCCUGAUGCAGCAAAGCAGCGUGCGGGAUGACGGCCUUCGGGUUGUAAACCGCUUUCGCCUGUGACGAAGCGUGAGUGACGGUAAUGGGUAAAGAAGCACCGGCUAACUACGUG
rnacentral:rRNA from 1 species